rnacentral:tRNA from 1 species
GGGUUUGUAGCUCAAGUGGUAGAGCAGCGGCCUUUUAAGCCGUUGGUCGUGGGUUCGAGUCCCACCAAACCCACGA